GCCGGGUGUGGUGGCACAUGCCUAUAGUCCCAGCUACUCUGGAGGCUGAGGCUGGAGGAUCACUUGAGUACAGGAGUUCUGAGCUGCAGUGUGUUAUGCACUAAGUUCGGCAUCAAUAUGGUGACCUCCCAGGAGCGGGGAACCACCAGGUUGCCUAAGGAGAGGUGAACCGGCCCAGGUCAGAAACGGAGCAGGUCAAAACUCCUGUGCUGAUCAGUAGUGGGAUCGCACCUGUGAAUAGCCACAGCACUCCAGCCUGGCCAACAUAGUGAGACCCCAUCUCUU
ensembl:misc_RNA Metazoa_SRP Metazoan signal recognition particle RNA